rnacentral:tRNA from 1 species
UUAGUUGAAGCUAAAAUUAGCAGCAUCUCACUGUUAAUGGGACUUAGGGUAAAGACCCCAACUAAG